GGUCAAGCUACAAAGGGCAGAUGGUGGAUACCUAGGCACACAGAGGCGAUGAAGGACGUGACGACCGACGAUAUGCUUCGGGGAGCUGGAAGUAAGCAUUGAUCCGAAGAUUUCCGAAUAGGGCAACCUUUAACAUGACUACCUGAAUCCAUAGGGUAGAGCAAGCUAACCCAGCGAAUUGAAACAUCUUAGUAGCUGG
rnacentral:rRNA from 1 species